GCUGGGUGUGGCUGUGCUGUGAGGAGUUCUCCUGGAGAAGGGAUGAAAUGGAACAAGUAUCCCACGUGAAGUCAGCUUUGUCACUACAGAYAUGAAGGCCUUCAACACCUUAACYGAUGCCAGAGCCACUACUUUUCUCUUGUGGAGCAACAACUGCCUCUGCCCUGCAGUUGCCCAAGCUUCUGCUCUGUGUGAAAGGUAUCCAGGAUCUGCACAAGGUACAAGGAAUCUGCACCCCCUUGGGAUGCCUGCCUAUGUGGAGAAACGGAAGAGCGGAGCAGCCGCUCUUCUCCAGGACAGCAGUGCCCAAGCCUGGAUGGAAAGCUGGGGCAAAGGACAUCUUUUCCCCUGGUCUACAGCCUGUGGGCAUUUCUUGCAGACCUUUCUGCCCUUAGCAAAGCCUGUGUCUCUGUCUUGCUACUGAGUCAUUCUCCACAUCUUCCACAYGGAAAUAUUAGAAAGGAUUUUGGUAGAGGAGCAAACAUCUCAUGACUGAAGUGCGUCCUCACUUGAGCUAAAUGUAGCCCUGUGGACGUCAGCAGGGAGCAUGAACCUGUCAGUGUCUGAAAACAGCACUCUGAGUGCGGCGGGUUUUUUCUUCAACCUGUUUCUGCUGCGUGGGAUUUCCGCUAGGAUAGAUGCAGUUAUACAAAAAAAAAAUGAAGAUCAAACAUGAUAGUUUGGAGGUAAUAGGUAAAAAGAGCAACUAUACCACAUAUGUGGAUGAGAUACUUUACCGAUACAUUGACAAACAACUUCAUAAAUGAAGUUAUACUGAACAUGAUUGCCUCACUAGCACUCUCCAGGAUUUGUGCUAAUAAUUUUGUCCYCUCCAUAUGUUAUGCAGUUGGACAUUUUAAAAGCAAUUUUUUAUGAAUAUUUGAUUUUACUUUUCAUUUUCURCCUGGUUUAGAAUAAUCAAUUCUGCAUCAUUUUCAGAUUUUCUGCUUUCCAAAGCCUGUGGCUUCCCGUAACAACCA